rnacentral:tRNA from 1 species
GUGGGCGUAGCUCAAUCGGUUAGAGCGUCAGAUUGUGGCUCUGAAGGUCGCCGGUUCGAUUCCGGUCGUCCACCCCA